rnacentral:tRNA from 1 species
GCCGAAGUGGCGGAAUGGCAGACGCGACGGUCUCAAACACCGUUGCCGCAAGGCAUGAGGGUUCGAGUCCCUCCUUCGGCACCA